rnacentral:rRNA from 1 species
AUUGAACGCUGGCGGCAGGCCUUACACAUGCAAGUCGAACGGAGCGGCGGACGGGUGAGUAAUGUCUAGGAAUGUGCCUGGUAGUGGGGGAUAACUUCCGGAAAGGGGCGCUAAUACCGCAUACUAUCGGAUGAGCCGAGGUCGGAUUAGCUAGUUGGUGGGGUAAAGGCCUACCAAGGCGACGAUCCGUAACUGGUCUGAGAGGAUGACCAGUCACACUGGAACUGAGACACGGCCCAGACUCCUACGGGAGGCAGCAGUGGGGAAUUUUGGACAAUGGGGGAAAGCCUGAUCCAGCCAUGCCGCGUGUGUGAAGAAGGUCUUCGGAUUGUAAAGCACUUUAAGUUGGGAGGCGGUACCAGCAGAAUAAGCACCGGCUAACUUCGUGCCAGCAGCCGCGGUAAUUC